rnacentral:tRNA from 1 species
ACCGCGAUAGCUCAGCUGGUACAGCAUCUGCCCGGUAUGCAGAGGGUCGCCGGUUCGAUCGUGGCUCGCAGCG